rnacentral:rRNA from 1 species
AAUGAACGUUGGCGGCAUGGAUUAGGCAUGCAAGUCGAGCGGUAAGGCCCCGCAAGGGGUACACGAGCGGCGUAAGGGACAGUAAUGUGUAGGUACGUACCUCCGGGCCUGGGAUAGCUGUGGGAAACUGCAAUUAAUACCAGAUGAUGCCUCCGGACCAAAGGUGUGAUUCCGCCGGGAGAGCGGCCUACAUCCUAUUAGCUAGUUGGCGGGGUAACGGCCCACCAAGGCUCAGAUGGGUAGCAGGUGUGAGAGCACGACCUGCGUCACUGGGACUGAGACACUGCCCAGACACCUACGGGUGGCUGCAGUCGAGAAUCUUCGGCAAUGAGCGCAAGCUUGACCGAGCAAUGCCGCGUGCGGGAAGAAGGCCUUCGGGUUGUAAACCGCUGUCAGAGGGAACGAAAUGCCAGUGGGUACUCUCAUUGGUUUGACUGAUCCUCAAAGGAAGGGUGGGCUAAGUUCGUGCCAGCAGCCGCUGUAACAC